AAAGACCAGUGAGGCCCAUUCUACGCCCCUGGCAUUAUGGAAUGUUAUGUCAUGCUAUGUUAUGAUUAUGUAAGAGAAAGACCAGUGAGGCCCAUUCUACGCCCCUGGCACAGUUGGAUCAUGUAGAGGACUAUUGGUGACAAAUUCAUCCUUGAUGUGAUUAGCUGUGAUGUGAUGCAUUUCAUGUUAUCAUAUGUUUCAAAUGUUUUAUUAUUCUGCUC
rnacentral:lncRNA from 1 species